UACGUAGGGUCCGAGCGUUGUCCGGAAUUACUGGGCGUAAAGAGCUCGUAGGUGGUUUGUCGCGUUGUUCGUGAAAACUCACAGCUUAACUGUGGGCGUGCGGGCGAUACGGGCAGACUAGAGUACUGCAGGGGAGACUGGAAUUCCUGGUGUAGCGGUGGAAUGCGCAGAUAUCAGGAGGAACACCGGUGGCGAAGGCGGGUCUCUGGGCAAUAACUGACGCUGAGGAGCGAAAGCGUGGGGAGCGAACAGG
rnacentral:rRNA from 1 species